rnacentral:rRNA from 1 species
AAAUUGAAGAGUUUGAUCAUGGCUCAGAUUGAACGCUGGCGGCAGGCCUAACACAUGCAAGUCGAGCGGUAACACAGAGAGCUUGCUCUCGGGUGACGAGCGGCGGACGGGUGAGUAAUGUCUGGGAAACUGCCUGAUGGAGGGGGAUAACUACUGGAAACGGUAGCUAAUACCGCAUAACGUCGCAAGACCAAAGUGGGGGACCUUCGGGCCUCAUGCCAUCAGAUGUGCCCAGAUGGGAUUAGCUAGUAGGUGGGGUAAUGGCUCACCUAGGCGACGAUCCCUAGCUGGUCUGAGAGGAUGACCAGCCACACUGGAACUGAGACACGGUCCAGACUCCUACGGGAGGCAGCAGUGGGGAAUAUUGCACAAUGGGCGCAAGCCUGAUGCAGCCAUGCCGCGUGUAUGAAGAAGGCCUUCGGGUUGUAAAGUACUUUCAGCGAGGAGGAAGGCGUUAAGGUUAAUAACCUUGGCGAUUGACGUUACUCGCAGAAGAAGCACCGGCUAACUCCGUGCCAGCAGCCGCGGUAAUACGGAGGGUGCAAGCGUUAAUCGGAAUUACUGGGCGUAAAGCGCACGCAGGCGGUCUGUCAAGUCGGAUGUGAAAUCCCCGGGCUCAACCUGGGAACUGCAUUCGAAACUGGCAGGCUAGAGUCUUGUAGAGGGGGGUAGAAUUCCAGGUGUAGCGGUGAAAUGCGUAGAGAUCUGGAGGAAUACCGGUGGCGAAGGCGGCCCCCUGGACAAAGACUGACGCUCAGGUGCGAAAGCGUGGGGAGCAAACAGGAUUAGAUACCCUGGUAGUCCACGCCGUAAACGAUGUCGACUUGGAGGUUGUGCCCUUGAGGCGUGGCUUCCGGAGCUAACGCGUUAAGUCGACCGCCUGGGGAGUACGGCCGCAAGGUUAAAACUCAAAUGAAUUGACGGGGGCCCGCACAAGCGGUGGAGCAUGUGGUUUAAUUCGAUGCAACGCGAAGAACCUUACCUACUCUUGACAUCCAGAGAACUUAGCAGAGAUGCUUUGGUGCCUUCGGGAACUCUGAGACAGGUGCUGCAUGGCUGUCGUCAGCUCGUGUUGUGAAAUGUUGGGUUAAGUCCCGCAACGAGCGCAACCCUUAUCCUUUGUUGCCAGCGGUUAGGCCGGGAACUCAAAGGAGACUGCCAGUGAUAAACUGGAGGAAGGUGGGGAUGACGUCAAGUCAUCAUGGCCCUUACGAGUAGGGCUACACACGUGCUACAAUGGCAUAUACAAAGAGAAGCGACCUCGCGAGAGCAAGCGGACCUCAUAAAGUAUGUCGUAGUCCGGAUUGGAGUCUGCAACUCGACUCCAUGAAGUCGGAAUCGCUAGUAAUCGUAGAUCAGAAUGCUACGGUGAAUACGUUCCCGGGCCUUGUACACACCGCCCGUCACACCAUGGGAGUGGGUUGCAAAAGAAGUAGGUAGCUUAACCUUCGGGAGGGCGCUUACCACUUUGUGAUUCAUGACUGGGGUGAAGUCGUAACAAGGUAACCGUAGGGGAACCUGCGGUUGGAUCACCUCCUUA